AGAGUUUGAUCCUGGCUCAGGAUGAACGCUGGCGGCGUGCUUAACACAUGCAAGUCACGGGGGCCAGCAAUGGCAACCGGCGAACGGGUGCGUAACACGUGAGCAACCUACCGAAAUGAGGGGGAUAGCCGUCCCAACGGACGGGUAAUACCGCAUACGCUCUUGUCCAGGCAUUUGGACUUGAGGAAACCUCCGGGGCAUUUCGAGGGGCUCGCGGCCUAUCAGCUAGUUGGUGAGGUAACGGCUCACCAAGGCGACGACGGGUAGCUGGUCUGAGAGGAUGGCCAGCCACAUUGGACUGAGAUACGGCCCAGACUCCUACGGGAGGCAUAUCUGGGAAUCUUGCGCAAUGGCCUAACGGCUGACGCAGCGACGCCGCGUGAGGGAUGACGCUCUUCGGAGUGUAAACCUCUUUUGCCUGAGACGAAUUGUCAGCUUUAGCUGAUUUGACUGUAUCGGGUGAAUAAGCACCGGCUAACUCCGUGCCAGCAGCCGCGGUAAUACGGGGGGUGCGAGUGUUGUCCGGAAUCACUGGGCGUAAAGGGCGCGUAGGUGGCCUGAUAAGGGUGUGGUGAAAGUCCGGGGCUCAACCCCGGAUCGGCCGUGCCGACUGUUAGGCUAGAGUACUGUAGGGGCAGGCGGAAUUCCGGGUGUAGCGGUGGAAUGCGUAGAGAUCCGGAGGAAGACCGGUGGCGAAGGCGGCCUGCUGGGCAGUUACUGACACUGAGGCGCGACAGCGUGGGGAGCAAACAGGAUUAGAUACCCUGGUAGUCCACGCCGUAAACGAUGGGUACUAGGUGCCUGGGGGAGCGACCCCUUGGGUGCCGGCGCUAACGCAGGAAGUACCCCGCCUGGGGAGUACGGCCGCAAGGCUGAAACUUAAAGGAAUUGACGG
rnacentral:rRNA from 1 species